rnacentral:sRNA from 1 species
GGAAGCACUAGCGGCUGCGGGAGCGCCGGGGGCUGCGGGAGCGUCAGCUGCUGUGGGAACGCCAAUUUUAGUGGAAGUGUCACCGGCGGUGGGAGCGGCGGCAGCUGCUGGGGCGGGAGCAGCGUGGAGCGCAGCGAGCGCCGGAAGCGGAGGAGUACCGACUCUUCCAGCGUCUCGGGCUCCUUGCAGCAGGAAACUAAAUAUAUUUUGCCAGCUUUGGAAAAAGAAUUAUUCUUGGCAGAGCACAGUGACCUUGAAGAAGGUGGACUGGACCUGACUGUGUCAUUGAAACCAGUUAGUUUCUAUAUAUCAGACAAAAAAGAAAUGCUUCAGCAGUGCUUCUGUAUUAUAGGAGAGAAAAAGUUACAGAAGAUGCUUCCUGAUGUGUUAAAGGUGACAAUGGAAUGGACUCUGAUAUGGAAGAGGAAGCAGAUGAUGGUUCUAAGAUGGGAUCUGAUUUAGUCAGUCAGCAAGACAUCUGUAUAGAUUCUGCUUCAUCCAUGAGAGAGAAUAAGCAACC